AAGGGUAUAGCUCAGUGGUUGAGUACAUGCUUACUAUGCAUGAGGUCCUGGGUUCAAUCCUUGGUGCCUCCA
rnacentral:tRNA from 1 species